rnacentral:rRNA from 1 species
UGGGGAAUUUUGGACAAUGGGCGAAAGCCUGAUCCAGCAAUGCCGCGUGUGUGAAGAAGGCCUUCGGGUUGUAAAGCACUUUUGUCCGGAAAGAAAUCCUUGGCUCUAAUACAGUCGGGGGAUGACGGUACCGGAAGAAUAAGCACCGGCUAACUACGUGCCAGCAGCCGCGGUAAUACGUAGGGUGCAAGCGUUAAUCGGAAUUACUGGGCGUAAAGCGUGCGCAGGCGGUUUGCUAAGACCGAUGUGAAAUCCCCGGGCUCAACCUGGGAACUGCAUUGGUGACUGGCAGGCUAGAGUAUGGUAGAGGGGGGUAGAAUUCCACGUGUAGCAGUGAAAUGCGUAGGAGAUGUGGAGGAAUACCGAUGGCGAAGGCAGCCCCCUGGGCCAAUACUGACGCUCAUGCACGAAAGCGUGGGGAGCAAACAGGAUUAGAUACCCUGGUAGUCCACGCCCUAAACGAUGUCAACUAGUUGUUGGGGAUUCAUUCCUUAGUAACGUAGCUAACGCGUGAAGUUGACCGCCUGGGGGAGUACGGUCGCAAGAUUAAAACUUAAAUGAAUUGACGGGGU